CGCGGGGUGGAGUAAUUGGUUAGCUUGCCGGGCUCAUGACCCGGAGUGUGUGGGUUCGAGUCCUACCCCCGCAC
rfam:Klebsormidium nitens mitochondrial DNA, contig: KFL_3731.